ACAGAGCUGCAUGGCUCAGUGUGAAAAACUCCGGUGGUAUAAGAUGGACCCGCGUUGGAUUAGCUAGUUGGUGGGGUAACGGCCCACCAAGGCGACGAUCCAUAGCCGGCCUGAGAGGGUGAACGGCCACAUUGGGACUGAGACACGGCCCAGACUCCUACGGGAGGCAGCAGUGGGGAAUAUUGCACAAUGGGGGAAACCCUGAUGCAGCGACGCCGCGUGAAGGAAGAAGUAUCUCGGUAUGUAAACUUCUAUCAGCAGGGAAGAUAGUGACGGUACCUGACUAAGAAGCCCCGGCUAACUACGUGCCAGCAGCCGCGGUAAUACGUAGGGGGCAAGCGUUAUCCGGAUUUACUGGGUGUAAAGGGAGCGUAGACGGUGUGGCAAGUCUGAUGUGAAAGGCAUGGGCUCAACCUGUGGACUGCAUUGGAAACUGUCAUACUUGAGUGCCGGAGGGGUAAGCGGAAUUCCUAGUGUAGCGGUGAAAUGCGUAGAUAUUAGGAGGACACCAGUGGCGAAGGCGGCUUACUGGACGGUAACUGACGUUGA
rnacentral:rRNA from 1 species